UACGAAGGGGGCUAGCGUUGUUCGGAAUCACUGGGCGUAAAGCGCACGUAGGCGGAUCUUUAAGUCAGGGGUGAAAUCCUGAGGCUCAACCUCGGAACUGCCUUUGAUACUGGGGAUCUCGAGUCCGGGAGAGGUGAGUGGAACUGCGAGUGUAGAGGUGAAAUUCGUAGAUAUUCGCAAGAACACCAGUGGCGAAGGCGGCUCACUGGCCCGGAACUGACGCUGAGGUGCGAAAGCGUGGGGAGCAAACAGG
rnacentral:rRNA from 1 species